ACUAAAAGAGAUGCCAGCUGUGCUUGUUUUCAAAGAUGAAACUUACUUUGUUUAUGAUGCUUUUAUUUUAGAUUCAGAGUCUACAUGUGCAGGUUUGUUACAUGGGUGUAUUGGAUGAUGCUGAGGUUUGGGGUACAAAUGAUCCCGUCACCCAGGUAAUAAGCAUAGUACCCAACAGGUAGUUUUUUUAGCCCUUGUCCUCCUCCCCAUCUCCCUAGUGUCUGUUAUUCCCAUCUUUAUGUCCGUAUGUACCCAAUGUUUACCGCCCACUUAUAAAUGAGAACUUGCGAUAUUUGGGAUAGUUUAUUUUCGAAUGAAAUUCAAAUUGAUCACUGUAUGCAAUCUCGUAGAAAAUUUGCUUUUAGCAUGCAGUGGACAUUGUGGCCCAGUAAUCAAUUUCUAGUUUUAUGUUUAUUUUCCUAAUUUAUAAAUUUAAAUCAAUAAAUUCUUUGAGAUUUGCAUUGCAUCACUUAUUUUAUGGGUUUGAUAACUUGAAAAUGUUUUGUUUAGCAAUGCAAGAAAAAGCAUACCUUUGAAGAGGUCAUUAAAAUCCAUUCUUCAACCAGAUGUAUUGGUAGGCUUUUAUAGACAUUUGCUUUACAUCACCACCUUUUUUAUGCAAUUGUAAUAAUUUUGAACAAUUACUUGAGAAUUACAUUUCUAAUUAGGAUGUAAUAUUUCUCUUAGAUAUUAUAUU
rnacentral:lncRNA from 1 species